rnacentral:rRNA from 1 species
UGGGGAAUAUUGCAUAAUGGGGGGAAACCCUGAUGCAGCGACGCCGCGUGAACGAAGAAGUAUUUCGGUAUGUAAAGUUCUAUCAGCAGGGGAGAUAAUGACGGUACCUGACUAAGAAGCACCGGCUAAAUACGUGCCAGCAGCCGCGGUAAUACGUAUGGUGCAAGCGUUAUCCGGAUUUACUGGGUGUAAAGGGAGCGUAGACGGCGAGGCAAGUCUGAAGUGAAAGCCCGGGGCUCAACCCCGGGACUGCUUUGGAAACUGUCUUGCUGGAGUGCUGGAGAGGUAAGUGGAAUUCCUAGUGUAGCGGUGAAAUGCGUAGAUAUUAGGAGGAACACCAGUGGCGAAGGCGGCUUACUGGACAGUAACUGACGCUGAGGCUCGAAAGCGUGGGGAGCAAACAGGAUUAGAUACCCUGGUAGU